rnacentral:rRNA from 1 species
UAGGGAAUUUUCGUCAAGUGGGGGCAACCCUGAACGAGCAAUGCCGCGUGAGCGAAGAAGGUCUUCGGAUUGUAAAGCUCUGUUGACCGGGGAAAAGGAAGGAAAGAGGAAAUGCUUUUCUUUGGAUGGUACCCGGCCAGAAAGUCACGGCUAACUACGUGCC